rnacentral:rRNA from 1 species
GCCGUUAAGUCUUGACGAGUAAGAGGGUCGCGACGGUGUGCGCAGAAGGGUCAGGGCGAGAGCCUGCCUGGAGCCGCCGUUGGUGCAGAUCUUGGUGGUAGUAGCAAAUACUCUAGCGAGGGCCUGGAGGACUGACGUGGAGAAGGGUUUCUUGUGAACAGCCGUUGCACAAGAGUCAGUCGACCCUGAGCCCUAGGAGAAAUCCGAUGACGAUGGGUGGCUUGACAAUACAACAUCAAGUUGUUACAAAUGAACAGCUCCUAUCGGGCAAAAGGGAAUCCGGUUCCUAUUCCGGAACCCGGCUGCGUAACCGCUACUUUGCGGGCACUUGCUUGCGAGCGCUCGUCGGGGUAACCCAAACUGGCCUGGAGACGCCGGCGGGGGGUCUGGAAAGAGUUUUCUUUUCUUUAUAAGCGUUCGAGUACCCUGGAAUCCUAUAGCAGGGAGAUAGGGUUUGGAACGCGAAGAGCACCGCAGUUGCGGCGGUGUCCGGACCUUCCCCCCGGACCUUGAAAAUCCAGGUGAGGGCCACGCGGAAGUCGCGCCGG